CAUGCAUACAACAAAAUCACCGGAUCACUUCAACAACUGUAGUUUCUAACCUGACAACGCUUCUUAGACAAAACAUCAUUUUUUUUCUUGUUUAAGCAAUUCAUAAUCUUGUUUAACUACUUAAUGAUUCAAAACUUAAUUGGGAUGUUGGCGUUGCAGUUUGACAGUUGAACAGUCCAUCCAUAAUUGAAAAAAAAACAGUUGCAAUAUACCAUCAAAAAUUGUUACAUCGUUUGACUUCUUUCUUUAUGGUUUACCCAUCAGAUGUCUAGAAGGCAUUUUCCGUUUAACACCUUUAGCAGAGCAUAUUUCUCCUUAAAGCAAGCGAUACAACAUUAGCAUAAGCCUGAGCUUAGAAUUUUCAGAAUCAUCGGCCAUCAUUUGUUACGUAGCAAGCCAGAUGCGGAUAGAAGCCGUAAUGCUUGAUUGGAAUUGUUCAAAACAGCUGAUGACCUUGAUACCUGCAUCUUGCGUUUCUUUAAGAAUUCCAGUGAGUUUUCUAAGCACGGAGGAGGUGGUAGAUCCUUCAAAAUAACUGGUCCAGAUCUGACAAGAAUACAUCUUGUAACUAAUAGUGACUCUAAGCACGGAGGAGGCGGUAGAUCCUUCAAAAUAACUGGUCCAGACCUGACCAAAGCCACAAGAAUACAACGACUAACUAAAAGUGGGUUAUGAAAAUUAUCUCAAUUAAAGCAGAAGAGAAGUGCAUGAUCCUCACCCAGAGUUCCUGGAUCUUU
rnacentral:lncRNA from 1 species